rnacentral:piRNA from 1 species
UCCCUGCAGGUUGUCCUCUUGAUACAUAUGU